CUUUCCCUCUUGCUUUAGGCCUAACACAUGCAAGUCGAACGGCAGCACAGUAAGAGCUUGCUCUUACGGGUGGCGAGUGGCGGACGGGUGAGGAAUACAUCGGAAUCUACUUUUUCGUGGGGGAUAACGUAGGGAAACUUACGCUAAUACCGCAUACGACCUACGGGUGAAAGCAGGGGAUCUUCGGACCUUGCGCGAUUGAAUGAGCCGAUGUCGGAUUAGCUAGUUGGCGGGGUAAAGGCCCACCAAGGCGACGAUCCGUAGCUGGUCUGAGAGGAUGAUCAGCCACACUGGAACUGAGACACGGUCCAGACUCCUACGGGAGGCAGCAGUGGGGAAUAUUGGACAAUGGGCGCAAGCCUGAUCCAGCCAUACCGCGUGGGUGAAGAAGGCCUUCGGGUUGUAAAGCCCUUUUGUUGGGAAAGAAAAGCAGCAGGUUAAUACCCCGCUGUUCUGACGGUACCCAAAGAAUAAGCACCGGCUAACUUCGUG
rnacentral:rRNA from 1 species